rnacentral:misc_RNA from 1 species
UCAAACUUGGUCAUUUAGAGGAAGUAAAAGUCGUAACAAGGUUUCCGUAGGUGAACCUGCGGAAGGAUCAUUAAUGAAUUAAAUUCUGUUGGGUUGUAGCUGGUCCCUGGAGACAAGUGCACGCCUGACUCAAUUUUAUUAACCACCUGUGCACUUAUUGUAGACUUGGAUAACACUCGAGUUUAAACAAAAACUCGGAUUGAAGGAUUGCCUGGCUUUCCAUCGAUUUCCAAGUCUACGUCUUCUUAUAUACUCUUUGAUAUGUAUGUCAGUGAAUAAUGUGAUAACUUAUAAAACAACUUUCAACAACGGAUCUCUUGGCUCUCGCAUCGAUGAAGAACGCAGC